AAAUGGUGUGCUAUAUAAAAUAACAUUGAAGUAUUUUUUUAAAAUCAAAGAUCCAAUUCUUUUUUUUAAAUCGAAGUCAAUAGUCUUUUAUUUUAUAAUGGAUGAUUAUAGGUCAAACUUAUAAUAAUGUUUGGUAGUGCGAGAAGUAAUUGGGUUAAUUUUUAUGAAGAUGACGUUCGGGCUGAUUUCAGAACUAGAUUAACAUGUAGUGGGGUGAUUUGCAAUGUUUCUGAAUGAUUUUUCUUCUAAAAUAUAGGUUAAUCAGUUCUCAGGACUAAAACUUAGUCCAUUUUAAGUGGUUUGAAGAUUGCAUUGGAGAUUCCAUGUAUGAGAAAUGUGAUUAAAUUAAAUUUAAUAUAAAUAAUCUUGUAAAUGAUUAUUUUUUCAGAUUGAUGGGUUGUUCUCUAUCUUAUGUGAGUAUAAAAUUUUGUGAAUCUGAUAAAAUUUGAAUUUAUCUUUUAUUUUUAACUUUUGUUUUUUAUUUUUAAAUAUUUUAAUUUUUUUUUCCGGUAUGCUUUGGGAUUUGCCCCUUUUAUUCAAUAAAAAAUAUAUUUCAUAAAAUUAUUUAAAAAAUACAUACUUUUAUCUAAAUUUUGUUAAAUUGUGAUAUUUAUACUUAGUAUAUUAUAUUUAAAAUAUAGUUAUUUAAUAUUUGUCUAAAUUUGGAUGAAUUUAUGUCCCUGCAUAUCAUUAGCAAUUUCAUAGAAAUAUUUACAAUUUAGUAUAUUUUCAUAUAUCUGUUUGACUAUAGGGAUAUAAAUAUGUUAAAUUGAGCUACAUGAAACUACUUAAAUUUGGUAUAACUUAAAUUGUUGGUUAAAAAGGGCUAGGCAUAUGCUUUUAAUAAAACUUAUUUAAUUAAUUAUAUCAUACCCUAUAAUUGUAAUCAUCAUUUUUAAUACACGUCUAAAACAAAAGGUGCUAUUUUACCCGUGAAUAAUGUAUAAGCAUGAAUGUGCAGUUGUGCGAGACAAAUAUGAAAGUUUUAACUAUUUAUCCAUCACAGGUGUAUGAGCUUGGAUCGCGAGUCCAUUGGUGUUAUUAACAAAGGGAAAAAGUGUUUAUCCUUUUCUGUUGAUUCUAUUAGCAGAGUUUCACGUGAUUGACACUCUUCUUUGGCUCAUUGGUUGAGUGCUUCUCCUACUCACUGUUCUGAGACUUUCUCUUCGACUAAUAGAGGAUCUGGUCAAAAGAAUUUGAGGGUGAAAGGCUUUGAUAUUUCCCAAUCUCACUUCUACCCUCCUAGGUGCGAUGGAGGGAGAGGGGAGGGUAGGAAUCUGAAGAUUCUUUCUGGUUCUUCUUCUUAUGUGCGUAGGCAAGACCUUAAUUCGAAGGCGAAGACGAAUAAUUAUGGGAAUUUUGUAAGUGAUGAUAUUUUUGAUGCGUGUCUUGUGUAGGGUAACAAACAGUUAUAGGACAAAGCUCGGGAGGAAGUCGUGUCGAAAUUAUGGACUAAAGUCGCUGCAUACGGUGUGGGUUAUUCAGAGGAUAAUAUUGAUUUCAUUGGUGUUAUUAAGGAGAUGAAAUAUAGGUAUGAGGAAGCUAACAAUCAAAAGGAAGUUCAAACAAAGGGGUUCUCAUGAAGAUUCUCUCUUAUAACAUGAGAGGGUGCGGUUGAUCGACGAAGAGGAAGCGUUUGGGUUUUUUUAUCCAAAAAGAGAGGUUUGAUAUAUGUUUGAUUCAAGAAACUAAGAUGCAUGUUCUUUCUGAUUCUUUGGUGGCGGAGAUGUGGAAGGAUUCAGGGGUUCAAUGGUCUUAUACUUCUUCAUGUGACAGGUCUGAUGGUCUUUUAAUCACGUGGAAGGUUGGUUGUUGUGAGUUGAUUUCGAGUUUUCGUGGGGAUGGAUUCUUAGGAAACAAUGUAUUAAGGAACAAUAUUAAUUUGUAUCUCGUCAAUAUUUAUUCUUCUUGCUUUAUUCAUAAGAAGAGGUUGUUGUGGGAUAGUCUUGUCUCAUGAAAAUUAAGGUUUCCAAGGGGUGAAUGGUGUUCGGGUGGGGAUUUUAAUGUUUGUAAGAUGGAAUGGGAAAGGAAAGGUAGUGCCUUAUGUGUUAAUAGGUUGGAGAUGGACAAUUUUUUUGGAUUCAUAGGGAGUCUGGAUGUUGUCGAUCCUCCUUCUGUUGGCAGGAACUUCACUUGGUUUAGUUCAGACGGGAGAUUGAUGAGUCAGUUGGACUAAUUUUUGUUAACUGAUGGUUUGCUGGAGGAGUGAAAGGUUUGUGGUCAGGUUGUUGGUAACAAAGAUUUGCCUGAUCAUUUCCCGAUGUAGAUUAAAGGGGGUGAUAUGAAUUGGGGUCCUGAUUCAUUUAAGUUUUUUAAUGCGUGGAAUGAUCAUGGUGAUUUCUUGUCUUGCAUGGAGAGAUCCUGGACUUCGAAUAAGGUUAGAGGCAAGGUUGCCUUUGUUCUUAAGGAGAAGCUAAAAAUGUUGAAAGCUAACUUGAGAGUGUGGAAUAAGGAGGUUUUCAGUUAUCUUGAUUUGGUGGUGGAUGAGGCGAUUUUCGAUUUGAAUUCCUUGAUUUCUAGGCUACUGCAGAUGGGACGAUUGACCUCCAUGAGCUGGCUUCGAAGAGAGUUGUUGCCAUGCAGGAGGUGUGGAAGUAUGUCAGAGUGAAAGAAAGCUUUUUGCGUCAAAAUUCUAGAGUUGCGUGGUUGUCGGAAGGGGACUCCAACUCUAAGUUCUUUCACAAGGUUAUGAAACAUCGUUUUAAAAAGAAUUCUUUGUUGGGUGUCAUUUCUAAGGGUGUGUGGAUUGAUAAGGUAAAGCUUGUUAAAAAAGAGAUUUAAGACCAUUUCCAAAAUAGAUUUCGCAAAAAUUGCCCACUUAGACCUACCUUGGAUGGCAUUCCUUUUGUGUAGCUGUCCUCAGAGGAAAAUUCUAAGCUUGAGGAGCCGUUUUCGGAGGAAGAGAUUAAGGAUGUCGUGUGGAACUGUGAUGGUGAUAAAAGUCCGGGUCCGAAUGGUUUUGACCUUCUAUUCUUCAAAGCUUGUUGGUUAGUGGUGAAAGAGGAUGUGUGUGGUUUUGUUAAUGAUUUUCAUUUGAUGAGUGGUCUUCCUAAAGCGGUUACGACAUCGUUUUUGACUUUGAUUCUCAAAGUUGAUAAUUUGGGCUCUUUGGAUGACUAUAGACCUAUUUUUCUUAUUUGUAGUCUUUACAAAAUUCUUGCCAGGUUGCUCUCGAAUCGGUUGAGAUUGGUUGUCUGGAAGCUCAUCUCUUUAAUCCAAUCGGCUUUUAUGCCAAAUAGAAAUAUGUUGGAUGAGGUUCUUGUUAUCAAUGAAAUUUUGGAUCAUGCGAAUAAAUCUAAUAGAAUUUCUAUGUUGGUGAAAGUUGAUUUCGAGAAGGCACAUGAUUGUGUUUCUUGGGUUUUUUUAGGUAUAUGUUGGUGAGAAUGGGUUUUGGGGCUAGGUGGAGAAAAUGGAUGGAAGCCCUUAUAUUUAACAGUUCCGUUUCUAUUUUGGUGAAUGGGAGCCCGACCGAGGAUUUUGUGGUUUCUAGAGGUCUUCGUCAAGGGGAUCCUCUUUCCCCUUUUCUAUUCUUGUUAGCGGCAGAAGGGCUUUCGACUAUGAUGAGGAAAGUUGUUUUGGUGGGUGAUUUUGAUGGCUAUUGCUUCAACGAUAACGUUCACUUCGAUAUUCUUUAAUUCAUUGAUGAUACUAUGGUGGUUGGCGAAGGAUCUUGGAGGAAUCUUUUGAGCAUUAAAGAUAUUCUUGGAGGCGUCGAGUUAGUGUCGGGGUUGCAUAUUAACUUAUGAAAAAGUAAACUUGUAGGGAUUAAUUUGGAUCCAGAUUUUAUGCAAGCGACGACGUCGUUUCUUAUGUGUGACAUAUGGUCUCCUUAUUUCUCUUUUCUUGGUAUUCUCGUCGGCAUAAACACUAGGAGGAAAGAGGUUCCGACUUCAAUCUUGUCAAUGUUGUAAAGGAGGCUAUAUAAUUUGACCAAAGUUAGUUUGUCUAUUGGAGUUAUAGCGGUGCUCAUUAAUGUCGUCCUUUCGAACAUUGCGAUCUUUUACUUCUCUUUUUACAAAGCUUCGAAGGCGAUCAUCAAAGAUAUCAUUAAAAUUAAAAAAUCUUUUCUUUGGGAUGGUCUGGAAAACGAGAAGAAAAUUGAUUGGGUUAGGUGGGAUAUAAUUUUUUUCCCGAAGAAGGAUGAAGGCCUUGGUAUCAAACAUUGUGGCCGUUUCAACCUCGCACUUUUAUGCAAAUGUAAGUGAAGUAUUUUGGCUUUAUGACUUUAUAACUUUUUAUGGAAGUGGAGUACUUUAACAUGAUAGUUACUCAUAUUUUUGAGUAUUUUGAAUGACUUUAUAACUUUUAUGCAAAUGGAAGUAGAGUAUAUUCACUUAAACCUAAGAAUACUCUCGAAACACUAAUGGCAAAAUAUAUCAGAGAAAAUGAGAGAUUUAGAAAAAAAUGGCGAGAGAUUAAGAAAGUGAGAUCAAAGCUCAUUUCUAGAUGUAAUAAAAUGACAGACAAGCUCUCUAUUUAUAGGCUGGAUUCUGAUUUCAAUUUGGAAAAAAUCCAUGGAUGAAAUGAAUGCCAUCGAUUAGGCUAAUCAACUAUUGACCCAAAUAAAUGAUUGUUCAAGUCACAAAUGGGAAGUUUUGAUAUUUAGCUGCAACAAAUCAUUAAGAGAUUGACCUAGUUGAUUUUAGACUCAACCAAGUGAAAAUAAUCAAUUAGAUGAUCAGGGUUAAUCACUUAUCUAGUUGUAAAAAGUCCUACAAUUGAUUAGACAAUCUCUUAAUCAGUUUGCUAGGUCUUAAAAAAAUUCUCAAGUGGUUUUACUAAAAUAAAAGAGGCCUUUAAAAGGUUUUUAGUGUGUGUGUGUGUGAUUUUUCCAUAUUAUUUCCAAAAGUACCAUUAUGCCUUCACAAGACACUAGUCACUUAGACAUAUACGACCCGCCGAGUUUUCAUACUUCCUCUCUUUCGGAACUUUAAAGCCUCAAUUCUUGACAUCAUUAUCUUUAACUUUAACAUCACACAAGAAUCUUGAAUCUUAUAGUUUUAUGAGGCUUGAGACAAAUUCGCAUUGACCAUCACCAAAGAUUUAAGAGGACAAAAACUUCAGCGAACCUUGAAAAAUAAGUCUUCACUUAAAUGUCGUUUGACCAGAAUGUAGACUUUACAGAGAUGACUUGAUCUUCAAGAGCAUCUUCCAAAUGAUAACUUGAUAAAAACAUCUUGAGCAUCUUUGACCGCUUGAGUUGUCUUCAAGAGAUAAAGACUUCAUUAGAUAUCUUUGGAUAUCAGGUGUUAUUAUCACAAAUAACUUGAUCUUCAAGCAUUCUAGUCUCGAUCACCAUAAAUAUAAUUAUAACUAGUUGAUCAUUGCAUUAGAUUAUAUUCAAGCAUGAACUUGGCCAACAUAUAUGGAUUAACACAUCUUGAACUUCAAGCCCCAAUAACCAUCACACGGUCAACAACUUAUCAAGCACUAUCAGUUGAACAAGAACUUGUUAAGAACCAUCACUUGAACAAUAACUUGUCAAGCACCAUCACUUGAAUAAUAUAUCAUUGAGCAACAAGACUGAUGAAGACUUCUCUUAAGAGUGUUGUCAACAUAUAAACCAAUAUCCUUAAGCAACAAGACAGAUAAAGACUUCUCUUUAGAGCAUUGUCAACAUGAAAAUCAAAUCAACAUCUUGAUGUAGUCUUCAUACCUGCAAGCACAUGGAUCCACAAAAUCUUCUUCUGACGAGGAUUGAGACAAUUCUUCAAGAUAAAAAAAAAACUAUCAUCAGAUAAACCGCUUGAUAAGAGAUCUUCACUUACUUCACUGAACACCUUUUGACAAGGAGUGUUAUCCUCCACCUAGAUCUCCAAGCACCACAAACUUAAUCACCAUAAUUUAAUCAACACAACUUGAUUAACAAUCACAUUCAUUUGGCCACCACAUCAAAUGAUUUUUAUAUACUUUAGCUGCAACACAACUUGACUAUCUCAACAUACGUUAGUGUAGGAAGAGGAUUUAUACCCAUUUUAUUUGACAUAUUACACCUGUUUUGAUUGGGUGUAAACUCAUCGGAUGAGAUAUGUAUGAAAAAUUUACAUCCAUUUUAAAACGGGUGUAAAAAAGAGAGUAUAUUACACCUAAUUUUACCUAUAACGCAUGUAAAAUUUUAGUUAUUUACGUCAAAUUUCAAGCUAUUUACACCCGAUUUUAGAUAUAAUGAGCUUAAAAUGUCAGAUAUUUACCCUGAAUUUUAAGAAAUUUACGUCUAAUUUUCUAUAUAACGGGUGUAAAAUGUCAGAUAUUUACACAUGAUUUUAAGAAAUUUAAAUUUGAUUUUAUAUAUAAUUAGUGUAAAAUGAUAAAUAUUUACGCCAAAUUAUAAAGAAUUUACACUCGAUGUUUAAUAUAACGGAUAUCAAAUAUUAGAUAUGCAAUGUAUCUCACAUUCCAUCCAGUCAUGAACCUCUUUCAAUGUGAGGUAAAUACAAGAAGUGAACUCACAUUUCACUCAUGAUUUGAUAAAAUAAUAGAUUUAUGCAAUCUAAGAUUUAGAAUGCCUACCCUAAAUACAAUGUUAAUUUCAAGUGUGCAUCGUAGACAUAAGCAUAUAUAGCAAUAAUAGUUGACCAUACAUAAAAUCAUAUAUAGAUUAUCAAAUGGAAUUGAGUGAAGACAUACAAAAGAGCACAAAGUACAUAAGUUGGUUUGCAUAUAUACCUUUGACAUUUGUAUGCAUAAAAAUUCGUGUAUAUAUCUUUGACAUUCUAUGUAGAGUGUGAUGAACUAAGUAGAGAAUUUGUCUAAACUUUAAGAAAAAGAUUGAAAUAAUUGUGUCAUGUUUAACAGCUUCCUUAUUUUCUUCGCUUUAAAACAAAAUUAAAAGUUGCAUUGUCAGUUUGUUGUGAAUUGGAGAGUGACUUGCCAUCUCCAUGCUCCAUCUCCACUUUCACUUUCUGAUCUCUGUUUUAUUUAUAGAGAUAAGAGAAAAAUCAAAUUGAACAUAGAAAUUAUAGAAUAUUUCAUAUUAGAUUCAUCAUUCCUAACAAUAAUGAAUAUAUAAUAAAUAUAAAUUAACUAUAAAAUAAUUAUUAUUAAACAAAUUAUCAUGUGUUAAAUUAUAAUACUUUUUCUCAUGCUCUAUUGUUAUUGUCCACCAAAACUAUUUCUUGGUAUCAUAAUCAUAAUGAUUCACUUUAUUUUUAUAUGUUAAUAAACUACCUAAAUUGUUUUAUAUGUUAAUCAACUAUCUUAAUAAUUUAAAAAAAUAGUAUAAAUAAUAACAUGGAGUUUACCUUUAUCAUAGAAGCUAAAUAUAUCUCCAUGGAGAAGCAUAUUAAACCUUGUGGCAUGUGCGUGAAAAAAUAUUAAAAUUGGUUAAUAUAUGGUUAAGAAUAUUGAUAGAGGCACCUAUAAUCUUUUCAAUGGAGGAAAUAAAGAUGAACUAGUUUUAUGCUUCAAUACUUCACCACACGGCUAUUUUGCUACGUUAUAUUAUAUUUUCUUGUUUAUCUGAUUCUUUAUCAUUGCCUCAUAACACGCCAAUGCAGUUUGAACGGCAAAUGCCCAAUAGUCCAUUUCCUCAAAUGCAAUUACAGAUCCACGAUAGUUUACUAGUUUAUUUUAAAGUAUUUUAUAGUUUUUUUUAAGUAGAUUAUAAAGAGUAUAAUAGGUGCUCUUGUUUGUUAACUUUUUAUAUAUUUGUUACUUGUGUAGACAUGGCUUAUGAUGACUCGUGUCAUGAAAGUCCUAAAAUAACACUUUAAUCCCAAUUGAAAGUGAAAAGCUAGAAGCAAUCAAAGUCACAAAGAGUAUACAUACAUAUUUUUAGGGCUUGUGUGGCAUAAUUAUACAUAAUGGUGCAUUUGAUUUAAAUAAUAAAUGGAUAAGAAUAAGACAACUAGAGGACAAAAACUCUACAUAAAAGUACACCCACUACAACACCAUGCAUGUAUACCCACUCUAAAGGACGAAUCCAAAACACCACUACUUAAGCACUUGAGUCACUAGCAUGUCACAAGACACUUUGUCUCUCACAUAUUGCAUGUACCUAGGUCAACAAUGGUACGAAAAUGAAGAUUUAGAAGGAAAUUUGUUGAUUCCUUUGAACAAAAAUUCUCAAAUAUCGAAAAUCUCAUGAUCCAAGACAACACAAAAUCCUAUAAGAAAGUGAUUAUAAAAGGAUCUCUUUAAGGAAAUGUAAAGGGGUUCAACAAUUGAGAGAAAGAAACACUUAGUGAAAAUCAGUGAAGACAAAGAAACAAUUGAGAGUGAAGAGAGUGAGCUGGACAAUGUGGAUAGUUUCUUCUUCUCAUCAUCUCAAGUGUAUGCUACCAGUAUCUAGCAUGAUAAAGAUCAUAUCUUGUUGAUUAAAGAUUGCAAUAAGACGAAGAAGUUACUCUUAUGUUUUCAUUUAUUUUUCAUUAUGUGUUUAAUAACUUCUCGACAAGUGUACCGAUGAUGUCGCAAUAAUAAAAAUAUCGAAUCCACAAGGAUUAUCUUCUAACAAGACAAAAUGUGUGCAAUGUAUAAAAACUAGUAAAACAUGGGGAUUUUUGAGUUGUAAUACACAAAGUAAAUAAGAUAUUAAACAAAAUUACUAAAGCGAGAAGGUUGUGUUUAGAAUCCCCUAUUUCUCUAUUGUUGAUAGAAUCCCCUAUUUCUCAAUUUUGAUGCCUUGUAAUAAUGAUCUUAUCACUAUAACCCAACGACGAAUUAACAAAGUCGUUAUAACCGAUCCCUCACAAAAUAACUCAUUAACCACUACUCAUAGAUUUCUAUCCCUAGUCCGCCAGCGUAAGCAGGGUUAGGCAAUGCUCAAAAUGUUAAUUUCAUAUGCCACUACUCGGGGUCUCCUAUUCUUAUUCAACUAGCAUAAGUACAACAAUUUCCCUAGGUCCAAUACAUAGGCUAAGGGUCAGUAUUCCCUAUGUGCCCAAAAUCAAUUUAAAGGAGUAUUUCACAUAAAAAGCAUUAAGAACAAUACGCAAUUGAAUGAAAUUAUAGAUCAAAAGGUUCAUACAAAGUCAAAUCAACAUAUUACCCAACAAUAUUGAAAUAAUUUCAUCAUAAUACAAUAUUGAAAUAAUUUCACCUUCUAUGUCUUUGGAAACAUCUUUUUAUUUGUUUGCAUCUUUUCCUUUUGCAUUGUUACUUGUCUCAGAUUACUUCUUGUUCUAAUCUUGGGAUGGGAAACCAAUUAGCUAUCAUCAUUGGAGGACAAGUUGAUUUUGAAGAGAUAAUGGCCCAUGGCCUUGAUCUUCAAAGCAUUGUCUCCCAUAAUGGUUGGGAUAAUUUUAUUGGCAUGCUUUAUGGUCAUUGUUAUCCUAACUUGGUCAAGGAUUUUCGGGUAAAUGCUUAUAUCCAAGAUCUGCAUCUAGAAUAUGUCAUUCUUUCUAAAGUAUAUGGUGUUCCUAUCACCAUUACCCUCACAUAUAUUGCCAAUUCAAUAAAUUGUGAGGAAGAAGGAGUAGUCAUGGAUAUACUUUUCUGGGAUUCUUAUUUACCCUAUCAUCUAAUCUUUGAAAAUAUCUUCGACCUAUCCAAAGUCUCAAAUCUCAAUUCCAAGGCAUUAGUUUGGUAUCACCUGUUGAUUUAAAACUUCUUGCCAAAGAACAAGGAUCUUACUUCUUUGGUUAUUGAUGGAAAAUUUUUGUUGUUGUUUCUCAACUUAGAUCUGAAGAUUAACCUCCCUCAAGUUAUGUUUGAAUACUUGAAAAUUACUCUCACUUCCUUUAAAGAGGGAAAGUCAAGUUUCACUCCUUAGGGAAGGGUUCUUUUUUAACUCUUCAUUAAACAAGGAGAUGAGAUAACUAUGGCUGAGGUUAAAACACAAGUAUGGGAAUAUAAGUUGAAGCUUAUAAAAGCUUUGAAAGCUGAUGACCCCUUUAGGGUCAAAGUGGUCUUUGUGGGUGGAUCUUCUUCUUAGUUGUUUUAUGUUUUAUUAUCUUGUUUCACGUCUUAUAUAUGUAAUUCAUUUGUUCAUUUUAAUAAAAGGUUUCUAUUAUCGUGCUUUGCUUAUCUUACUGAUUGAUUCAUGAGCAUAAACCAUAAUUGAAGAAUUUAAGAGGCAGUUUAUGACUACUAAAAAGAAAGGAAAACUUUAUUUAUCAGGGAUAUUACAAGAUAUGAUCCUAAACAUUAUUGCAUAGGUUUUCAGCCCUGACCUUCUGAUCCCUUUCAAGUCUUCAGAAAGAUCUUGUAAUCUUAAUCCCUCUGAGAGUCUCAAUAAGUUUUCCAAUUUGCAUCCCACUACUCUUUGUCUGCUGGAACCUUGCUCUUCUCGAGAACUUCAGCAGAUUCUCAUUCAUCUUGUGCUUGUGCGCUCUUCAUUUUUUCUUCGAUCUUUUUGUUCUUCUUCUUUUCCUCUGUGGCCUCUUUUCUCAUCAUAUUACGAUAAUCCUUGUCAAAAUCUCGCUUAUCUGCUUUGAAAGUUCUUUUCUUACCAAUUCUUGUGAUUAUUUUUAGUUGUGUGUUUUAUUGUUGUGCUCUACAUCUGCUUUUAUAGAGUUUGGAUAGAAUCUCCUUUAUCUUGAAGACUGUUUUCUUUGAGUCUUAUGCAUAUGAACUUAAUGGUUCUUGGAAUCUAUGUAUUCAGAAUCUAUCUUUGACCAUCUUGAAAAUUAUGGUUCGUAUGCUUAUUUAUCAUUAGUAUCUGCAUUUAAACUGUUUUUAUUUUUCUCAAUUUUAUUGUUAUUGUCUUUAUUUUCUAAUGUUUUUGAUAAUGACAAAGGGGGAGAAAAUGCAUAAAGUAUUUUAGAAGAGAUAAAAGCAUCAGAACCUGAACAAAGCAACUUCUGCCAAAAUAACUAUUGAUUUAUAAGCCUUAUGUUAUUUAUAUUUUUAAGUAAUUAUCUUUUUGAGCUUAAAAGACUAAUUUUAAUUAAACAAAGACAAAAAUUUAAGGAAAAGCCUACAAACCUUACCUUAAUGAAUUGUCUGUCUAAAGGAAGAACUUACAAACCUCAACUUAAGACCUGUCAAACUCAGAGGGAGCUUACAAACCCCAGACCCUGAUGUUAGAAUUUGUUGAUUAAAAUUACAAGAUUAAAUUAACACAGACAAUGAGUUAAUAAGAGAUUACGAACCUCAACUUAAUGGACUAUCAGACUUAGAAGGAGCUUACAAACCUCACCUUAAUAGACUGUCUAACUUCGGGGGAGCUUACAAACUUCAACCUCUGAUGUUAGACUGUGUUAAUUGUCUUAAAUACAUUUGUUUGUCAUCAUAAGAAAAAGGGGAGAUUAUUAGAACAAGAUUUAUUCACUCCCUUAAAAGAUUUUGAUGAUAACAAAGUAUUUAAAGAACAACAGGGUUUACAAAUGGUUGUUCUAGUGUGUAGGAUCAAAAGACAUUACCUUGAUAUAAAUCAAGAUAAUCACUUAGAAUAACCAUUAAAGGGGAGUAAAACUGGUAUGUAUUUGAAGGAUCAUAACCAAGAUUUUAGACUUUGAGGAGUUUACUCAAGUUUUUAUGAUGUUGAACCUAAGCAGACUCUAUUUUAAAGGAAUGACUCUUCAUCUUCUAAACAAGCUUCAUAGGAAAUUCUAAAGAUAAUACUUCAAAGGAAUUUGUCUACAUCAAGUCAUAAAAUCUUAAAGUGUUCAUUCAGACUAGUUCUGAUCAAGACUUUGAUGAAGACAAGCUCAAAACCUGUGAACUAUAAACUCUGAAGUCUCACUCUAACCAAGCUCUGAAGACAUACUUUAGCUUUUGAUCAUGCUUUAACUAAUUCUAUAAAAAGCCAUUGAUUUAGGAAGCUAAGUAUAAAGAUAACAAUGACUUAGAUCAAGCUUUAACAAACAUAUACAAGAAGUCUCCAGUCAGAAGUUAUCUAAAAAAGAUCAUGUGAUAAUAGUACACUGAUUUAUGUCAAAUUAAGAUAAAGUAAUGUUGUCAGGAUGUGAUCUCUUCAACCAUUAUGAACUCUUCCCCGCACCUCUCAACUUCUUUAUGUUAGCUGAGUUUUUAGCUCACUCCACUAUACAUUCGCUAAAGACCUUCAAUGACUACUUGUACCUUUAGUAGUUUCAAUCUCCAACAGUUCCAUUCUCAAUAUCUAUUUAAGAAUAAGAUUGAAAACAUUUAGAGUUGCUCAAGAGAUCUCAAGAAGAUCUCUUAAAGAAAAUGAAUGCGAGUUGAAGAAUACAUGACUAUAUUCACCAAGAUGUGAUACCCGUUCACAUUAUGGGUUGAGAGAGAGAGAGAGAGAGAGAGAGAGAGAGAGAGAGAGAGAGAGAGAGAGACCGUGUUUGUAUAGAAAACCCAAAUAAUAGAAACACACACUAAAUAGAAAAUAAAACCACAAGGGUUAAGUGCGUGAUAACAUAGUGAAAAUGAAAGAGAGAGAGAGAGAGAGAGAGAGAGACCGUGUUUGUAUAGAAAACCCAAAUAAUAGAAACACACACUAAAUAGAAAAUAAAACCACAAGGGUUAAGUGCGUGAUAACAUAGUGAAAAUGAUCAAGAAGAUCAUCAUAACAUAAAGACACAACAGAGAAGGAAGAUUAUGCUUAAAGAGAAGGAAGAUUAUGCUAAGAUCGAAAGUCGUCCGACACUUUAGAUAAAGGUUGAUUAGUUUUUAAUUGGUAAAAACAGCGAAAGUGCUUUAUUAAUUAAUUAGGAAAUUUUAAUAUUAUUAGAAGGAGAUUGUAAAACUAUUUUUGGAAGCAUUUAUAGAUUUAGGAUCCGGUUAUCCGAGCGAAAGCCCGAAACCCUUUUAAGUCAAACUUUCAAAUCAAAAUCACUUUUUAGUUGAGCUAAGAGUUUAUUUCCUUAAAAAAUGAGUUUACUACUUUAACGCGGUAAGCGUCGGCCAUAUGUAACAAAUGGAAGGCAUAAAUUAGAGAGUAAAACUCGGUUCCGAUUACGCUAACGCGACGGUUCCUGUUUAAUUAACUUUUAUUUCGAGAAGAAAAUAUUUCCUUGUAAGUGUUACUACUAGACAAUAUGAGUAUUGUUAGAUCGAAGUGAAUCACAUUCCAGUAUUGUUUCUCUGAAUUCAAUCUUUAUUUUUAUUUUUUUAUACGCAUUACACUCUGUUUAAAUUAGCCUUAAAUAUACAACAUAACGAUAGUUAUCGAUAGAUUGACAUUGGUCUUUGUGGGAUCAAUAAUCUUUUAUAUUACUUAGACAUACUCCGUAUACUCGUGGAUAACACCCAUCACCACCCAUCCACCAUAUACCGUUAUCGUCUUUUAGUUUAUGAGUAUGGUUAGUUUUCUUCCUUUAUGUCACUUUAUCAUGGAAGAACCGUGUGUUCUUAUCCCCUGAUUUAAGCCACACUGCUCUGCUAUGUUAUCUCUAGAUAACUUCCUUAGUUUUGAGAAGUUUCUCUCGUUAGUUUUUCAUAGAUUUGUAAGACCUAAUCCCUUCACCACUAUGUCCAGCUACCUUUAUCCUUCAUCUUUUAUUCGAUUAUAUUGAUCUCUUUCCUUAUAACCCCAAAUUUUUUCUCCCCCGCCUCUCAUAUUGUUCCAACAUUGUUUCACGAUAUUUCCGCACCUUUCGUCCCUUGUCCAUGCUUUUCAAAACGAAACAGGUGUCUAGGUCUUCUAUUGAUUCUUUCCUGAUUGGAUUCCAUAUCAAUUCUUACUGUCGCAUGGUCAAAACCAUACCUUGGGAGAUAGAGAAUUCUGAUUGGAGAAAAUCUAUUUAUGAAAGUUGAAAUUGCCAAAGCCAUGUCUAACCCGCACUAAAUGUUAGCCUCCUCUGAUAUGUCGUGGGUCCAUGUGUACGAGUAGCCCUUAAAUCCCAAAUCCUGCAAGCCGCAUGAAUCUAAAGUUUGUUUGCCCCAACAAUAUUGACUGAAAGAUUCAUUGUUUCCUCCAUGUUUCUUUUUCUCAUACAAAAUACCAUUUAAAUCCCCGAAGCAUAUCCAUUUGUCCCCUACCUCCUUCUCAAUAUUUUUCAUAAGCAUCCAUGUUUUCCUCUUGCUAUGUUCUACAAAUCCUUAGGAUUUAUCAUCUUUCUUAUCAGUAAUAGUUCGACUUAUAUGAUUCAAGGAAAAGGAAUAAAGAUUCACAUGCACCUCUUUAUUCCAUAUGAGCACUAAAACUUUGCUCUAUCUUUGACUGAUCCUCUACGUUCAAUUAUAUGACAAUAGUAAAAUGCACAUCUGACCCUUAUUCUAUGGACCUCAUGAGCUUUUAGCCUAGUUUCCAUUAAGAAAACCAUGUUGGGGUUUUCCUGUCGAAUGAGAAUUUGCAAGACUCGAACUGCACGGGGAUUCCCCACCCCCAUACAGUUCCAACUCAAGAUUUUUCAUUAGGGAAGGCAGUGUUAUGCUUCAAAUACCACCUCUGAUCUUUGAUUUAUAUCUACCUCACCUACAUCAAUCUGCCUCCUCUUCUUGUUCCUUUGCACAAACUCUUAAAUUGACCCAUCAAUAAUAAAAACCUCUAUAAGUUAACAUUUUCCAUUCUAUGUAUCAUUAAUACAAGGGCAAGGCCGACCCUAUGGGUGUGCAGGAUGAGCCAUCGCACAGGGCCUCAAAUAUUCGAGGGUCUCGAUAAGAAAACCGAGUUCAAUUAAUUUAUAUAUAAUUUAGUUGUAAUAUAUACGUAUUUGUAGAUUGGUUAACUGGUUUACAUAGUAGUUCAACAGAUAGGUCCACAUUUUGUAAUGUAAGGGUCCUCGUUUGAAUCUAAAAAUUUGUUUUUAUGAUUUUAAUUGUUUUAUUCACAAAAAAUGUCUUUACGAUGACUCAAACACACAAUCAUUUCCAUAAAAAGUCAUACUCUACCACUACACCAAGAAACAAUUAUUGUUCAAAUGUUAAAUAGCGCAAUAUUUAUUUAUUAAUGACUAUUUUUUUUAUAAAAAAGUUUUAUUAUUUAUUAGAGGCCUUAUUUUUAAAAUAAGAGUAAGGCCAUUACAAUGUUUUGGCCGACCCUGUACAAGGGGGGGUCUUUGUUGGGCCUCUUUUUUGUUUUCUUUCUAUUACCUUUAUUCCUCUCAGAGUUGUUUCCAAUUUGUGUGUGAGUUCCUAUUUUUGUAUCCUCCGAUAUUGCCGCCACCCAUAGUGAUUCUACCACCAUUUCGAUUUAUAGAUUCUCCCCAUUGUAUCCCACGAUUUGUUGGCCUUUCUUCUCUUUGCUUAUUGUUUUAAUCCUUAUCUCUCGUAUUACCUCAAUAUCUCCUUCAUUUUUCUUGUCUUUUUGGUUGCAUUUGCUUUGACUAGAAGACACUUGGAAAAGACUCUUGUAACAUGUAUUUGAACUUACCUCAUUUGACCUUUACUCUUCAAAGACUUUUGGUAUAGGUGAAGCUUUUAGCCACUGACCAUAAGAUAACCUAUACUCAUCAAUAUCUUCGUAACCUUCUUCACUUAAAUCUCUCCACACUUCACAAUCUUUUAUCUGAUGACCAAUUCUGCCACACACAAAGCAAAAGAUGGAUAAUCUCUCGUAUUUGAAGAAGACUCUAUAAGUUUUGUCUUUGAACCUAACAACCGUUCCUUUUUUAUAGGAUUGUUAAGACCCAACGUAACCUUGAUUCUUAGAAAUCUUCCAUUUCUUUGGCCCUCUUUCAUAUCUAUUACAUAAAAAUCGCCUAAGAUCUUUUCGAUUUUCUUUGCCAUCAUCUUCAAUCUCAUCAUUAAUGGAAGAUCGUAGAUUCUGACCCAGAAAACCCCAUAAUGCAUGUUCAGUUUCGAGGGUAGUUCUUCGCCUAAAACCCUAUCCAACACAAGAAGGUGUAUGUGAAAGUUCCAAGGCAUGUUCUGAAGUACCAAUUCCAUAUUUAUCUUCAAAACAAAAGGAAAGAGAAAUAGGUUGUUGUUCAACUCAUGGGUCUCUAUCAGGUUUUUAAGCCUCCGUAGCUUUUAAAGAUAAAUCAAUAACAAACCACUAGAAGCGUGACAUAGAAACUAGGAAGAUCUGGAAGGAGCCGCCACAAACUUUAGGGUAAGGAGGAAAAUUCACAAUAAAUUUAGAGAAAAAAAGUUUGCCUUCUCUUUAGAAAUACGUGAAACAUAUUAACCUAUGUUGAUGUUAUUAUAACAAGUCGUUCAUAUGGAUUCAUUGAUAGACAUACGGCAUCCUGAUUUGGUGAGCCACCAUAAUGAUUUUUUUUUGUUCCUUUAAAAAAAGGGAGACUUUUGAGAAAAAUAAAAAGGUUUAUAAUGGUAAUAGUAGGGUGUUAAUUUUAAUUUGUACAACAAAAAAAAGUACAUUGGGCCAUACAAAACUUAGACAAAAAAGUAACUAAGCCCGUAAGCAAAGCCCAAAAGAAACCCUAAAAACCAUCCUUUAAUUGGAAUUCAGAACUCUGAAGGGUUCUGCUCUCUACCUCUCUCUCUUCACAUCCAGCCGCUGUUCGAGGUGCGGCCAGUCACUCAUUCAGAAUGGUACGUUUUUCAUCCCCUCUCUCCGUUCACCGUUUCUUUUCCGACGAUUUUACGCUUCUCGUUCACCAUUAACUAACAACACGUUCUUCAAUUUUAUUUUCAUGGAUUCAGGUUUUUGUCAAGUCUCAGAAAUCAAAGGCUUACUUCAAGAGGUUUCAAGUCAAGUUCAAGAGAAGAAGAGGUUCGUGUCAUUUCAAUUUCUCUCUGUAUCAUUCAUUUCCUCGUUAAUUUUCGUAGUUAACAUCGUUAAUCCCUAAUUAAUCAAUCUGCAGAGGGUAAGACUGAUUACAGAGCCAGGAUUCGUUUGAUUAAUCAGGACAAGAACAAAUACAAUACUCCCAAGUAUCGUUUUGUUGUUCGAUUUGUAUCCUUUUUCAUGAUUUAGUUGUUAAUUAUUGGCUUAAUGUUCUUACUAGUUAGUAUUUAAUUCAGUUAUGAUUUUCAGAUCUUUUUAGUGUAAAACCCUAACCAUAGUAUUAGACAAACAAAGACAUUGUUGCUCAAAUUGUCUCUGCUAGCAUUGCUGGUGAUAUAGUUCUUGCUGCCGCUUAUGCGCAUGAACUUCCUCACUAUGGGCUUGAAGUAGGUCUUACCAACUAUGCUGCAGGUAUGAAUUUCUGAUGUAUGUCUACCUGUUUGUUGCAGUCUAAUUUUUAGUUGUCGAAGUUAUAUAAUUAAGUUAUUAUUUUUUUAAAUGUGACCAGCCUAUUGCACCGGUCUCCUAUUGGCUCGCCGUGUUCUUAAAACUCUUGAAAUGGAUGAGGAGUAUGAGGGCAAUGUAGAGGUAUCGUUUAUUUUUCAUCUGCUUAAGUUAUUGAAUUGAAGUAUGGUUUUUGAUUGAAGUUUCUGUUCACCGUGUAAUUGAUGUGCGAUAGGGCUAUCAAAGAAGAUUAUUCGGUUGUAUUCAUUUUUUAUGAAUAAUUGUUUAUGAUGAUUCAUGCUUGUUUGUUUUGUUGUAUCAUAUUCAGGCUAGUGGAGAAGAUUAUUCAGUUGAACCAGCUGAUUCCAGGAGGCCUUUCCGUGCUCUUCUUGAUGUUGGUUUGGUUAAGACCACAACCGGUAACCGUGUGUUUGGUGCACUCAAGGUAUAUAUGAUCUUAUCUUGAAGAAAAAGAUUUAAGUAUUUUUGACAUUGAUGGAAUUUAAUAGAUGGAUUGUGAUUGUUAUUGUCUGCAGGGAGCUUUGGAUGGAGGUUUGGAUAUUCCUCACAGUGACAAAAGGUUUGCUGGUUUUGACAAGGAGAAGAAGGAGCUUGAUGCUGAGGUUCACAGGAAGUAUAUCUUUGGUGGACAUGUUACUGCCUAUAUGAAGGUAUAUUAUAAUAGAUAGUGUUCUUGAUCCGUUUUAAGUUGAAUUUGUAAGUAAUUCAUGAUAUGAUGUUUUGGUGACUCUUUUGAUCAACUUUGUAAUAUUCUUUGUAGACAUUGAUUGAAGACGAGCCAGAAAAAUAUCAAACUCACUUCAGUCAAUAUAUCAAGAAAGGGAUAGAAGCUGAUGGAAUUGAGGAACUUUACAAGAAGGUUCAUGCUGCAAUUCGUGCAGACCCCUCAAUCAAAAAGGCCGAGAAGCAGCCACCAAAGGAACACAAGAGGUAUAUAAUUUUGAUGUUUGUGACUAUUCUAUUGAUGCUAAGCAAAGUCACUGACCUUUCUGAAUUAGUAGGAUAUCGGACAUUUUUUCAUGAUUAUAUGACAAAUCUGUUGAAUGAAAAUUGUACUGAAUUUAUGGAUUUUCUUUUGUUCAGGUACAACCUGAAGAAGCUCACUUAUGAUGAAAGAAGGACAAAGUUGAUUGCUCGCUUGGAGGCACUAAAUUCUGCAGUGGAUGAAGACGAAGACGACGAUGAGUGAAAUUAAGUUGAGACCGGAGUCUAUUGUUAGCUUGAAUUUUCAUUUUCAUUUCCUUAAAAUUUUUGUUGCUUGUACCUUUAAUUUUAGAUCAACAUUUUUGGGUAAUUUGGAUUAUCCUAGUUUGAGUUGUUUCAAUUUACAUGAAUUGUUUCUGAAAGUAAUUUCUUGCAGUUGAAUCAACUUAAGUUAUCACUACUUAUGUUAUCAUCAUACUUUGUUAGAGCUGAAAAAUUAUAUUAACUUAUAGUCCUACAAAAAGAAGUGGUCUGAAUGAUCAAUUUUGGGUUUUUUUGUUUCAUCAAAUUUGUAUUUCAAUGAUUAGUAUGUUUGCUCACACUUUUAUUUAAUUAAAUGAUAAAAGACAGGGAUUUUAGUAUGUUUUCAAUAUUUUUUACUACACAAUAUAUAUUAUUAUUAGAGUAUAUAAUAUUAAAAUAUCCUCGGAUGCAUUUCAAGCACCUUUAAUCCGGUGAUAAAUCUGUAGAUGCAUUAUGAAUCAGAAGUAGACAAUUAAAAAGUCUUAAUUUGAAAAAAUAAAUGGCAAGUUUGUUUUGGCAUUUUUUAAAAAUAGUUUUUAUGUAAAAAAACAAUUCUAAGAAAAUUUUCGUAAAAAUUUUAAAUAUAAAUUUUGAUUUGAAAAGUUAUUUUUAAGAUGUUAUUUUAAGUAUUUUAUUGUAUUAUUUAAAUUUUUUUAAAGCUAUUUUUUUAAAUUUUUUAUAAAAAUCAUUUUUUUAAUAUAGUUUUUUAAAAAGAUUGUGAUUUUAACUAGUUUGAUUUAUAAUACGUUGAAGUUAUAAAAUAUCAAAAUUAAUCUUUUAAUUUAUAAAUAAUAAAUUUAGAAAAAUUAUAAUAUUUUGAAAUAUAUUUUUACAAAAUCGAUUUAACAAUGUCAAAAUUAGUCUUUUAAUUUUAAAAAAUAUAUUUUAAAAAAUUGUAAUAUUUAAAAAAUAUAUUUGUAGAAUCUAUAUUAAAAAAUAUAAAAAAAUUCUAUUUUUUUAAAAGCAAAACAAACUGAUUCAAAAUUAUCAUUCAUGAAAUUAAGUCGGCAUUAGAUAAAUGAUGUCAACAUAAAAUAAAAUAUUACAUUUAGUAUUUAGGUGGAUUUUAAUAUUUUCAUAAUAUUUUUAAUCGAUUUUGAAAUUAUUGCUUUCAAUUUGAUCGAAGUUUUUAUUUUAAAAUAAAAAAAUGUAUUUCAUAUAAUCGUUAUCUAUGUAUCUCUUCUUUGCAUUUGUAGUAGUUAAUUUUUUUAGUAUGUUUACAUGUUCUCUAUAAUGCGAUAGUCUUUUGCAAGAAGUCUAUAUAAAGAGUUGAGCAUAUGUGGCGUGAGAUUUAAAUUAAACUCAUUUCUAUUUGGUGUGGUUAGAAUGUGAGAUUGAAAGAAGCAUAAGAGUACUUUUACUUGAUAUACGUUACACUUUUCGGUUACUAAUUAUAUUUGACUCACAUUGAUGUUAAUGUUUAUUAAGCUAAUUUUUUGUCAAGGAAGUUGUGAGCUAUUGUGGAUGAAUCAUGUGCUGGAAGGUUUGAAAAAUAAAGCACGAACCCUAUGCAUAACCACAACAUUCAUUUCUUCUAAGUAUCAAUUUGGACAUGCGUUACCAAACAUGUUUUUGUUUUUUUCCCAUCAUCUCUGUUAUGCUUGUUGCUAUGGUUUGAUGGAAUAGUUUGUUUCGGUUACUAUUCUUUCUGUUCUUUUUUAAGUGUUAAUUUUUUAAAUAAUUUUUUAAUUUAUUUUUAAUUAUUAUUUACAAAUUAUUUAUAAAUAAUUAUUAUCAAAAAAGAAAAAGUAAAAUAACGAGGAACGGAGUGAGGAGGAAGUAUGUUGUUAAGAGUGCUCCCUAGUCUUGGAACAUGCUGUAUUUGGCAGGUUUCAUUGGCCAGUGAGAAUUGAGAUUUGAUUUGUAUUUAGAGUUGGAGUGUGUUGUUUUUAGAAUUUGUAAUGUAUCUCUUGUUUUCCUAGCAUAUCUUGUGCCGGAAGUUUUACCUUUAAUAUAAUAUCUUUUGCUUCUUAAAAAAAAACAGAAUAUAUUUAAAAUGAUUCAACUAAUUUACUUGUAAAUUUGAAAGGAUAAAUAUUAAUUCACCACAGAGGAAUAGUAUAUUAUUUCCUUAAUUUCAUUUGAUAGAAUAAUAUGUUUUUUUAAAGAGUAGCAUAUAGUAGUCUAUUGACUAAAAUUUUAAUAUUUAAAAAUAAAUAAAUGAGAUGUCACGAAUUUAAAUUCACUCCUAAAAUAAAAUAUCUUUAUUCGACUAUUAAAUUAAAGGUACUAUACAGCAAUAUGCUUUCGUUUUAGAGAUUUUAUUAUAUACUCUUGUAAUUUCCAUUAAUCACAUGAAAAAAAAAA
rnacentral:lncRNA from 1 species